rfam:Bacteroidales bacterium Barb7 Barb7_contig_758, whole genome shotgun sequence.
AACAGGGAAGCCGAAAACCGAAUAAUAGAGUAGGCA